UCUCGGAUGGUCUAACGGUAGGAUGCCUGCUGGUCUUGCAGUCGACGGAGGUUCAACUCCUUCUCCGAGAG